rnacentral:rRNA from 1 species
UGGGGAAUAUUGGACAAUGGGCGAAAGCCUGAUCCAGCCAUGCCGCGUGUGUGAAGAAGGUCUUCGGAUUGUAAAGCACUUUAAGUUGGGCGGAAGGGCAGUAAGCGAAUACCUUGCUGUUUUGACGUUACCGACAGAAUAAGCACCGGCUAACUCUGUGCCAGCAGCCGCGGUAAUACAGAGGGUGCAAGCGUUAAUCGGAAUUACUGGGCGUAAAGCGCGCGUAGGUGGUUCGUUAAGUUGAAUGUGAAAGCCCCGGGCUCAACCUGGGAAAUGCAUCCAAAACUGGCGAGCUAGAGUAGGGCAGAGGGUGGUGGAAUUUCCUGUGUAGCGGUGAAAUGCGUAGAUAUAGGAAGGAACACCAGUGGCGAAGGAGACGACCUGGGCUCAUACUGACACUGAGGUGCGAAAGCGUGGGGAGCAAACAGG